CUUAACACAUGCAAGUCGAGGGGCAGCAUGGUCUUAGCUUGCUAAGGCCGAUGGCGACCGGCGCACGGGUGAGUAACACGUAUCCAACCUGCCGUCUACUCUUGGACAGCCUUCUGAAAGGAAGAUUAAUACAAGAUGGCAUCAUGAGUCCGCAUGUUCACAUGAUUAAAGGUAUUCCGGUAGACGAUGGGGAUGCGUUCCAUUAGAUAGUAGGCGGGGUAACGGCCCACCUAGUCUUCGAUGGAUAGGGGUUCUGAGAGGAAGGUCCCCCACAUUGGAACUGAGACACGGUCCAAACUCCUACGGGAGGCAGCAGUGAGGAAUAUUGGUCAAUGGGCGAGAGCCUGAACCAGCCAAGUAGCGUGAAGGAUGACUGCCCUAUGGGUUGUAAACUUCUUUUAUAAAGGAAUAAAGUCGGGUAUGGAUACCCGUUUGCAUGUACUUUAUGAAUAAGGAUCGGCUAACUCCGUGCCAGCAGCCGCGGUAAUACGGAGGAUCCGAGCGUUAUCCGGAUUUAUUGGGUUUAAAGGGAGCGUAGAUGGAUGUUUAAGUCAGUUGUGAAAGUUUGCGGCUCAACCGUAGAAUUGCAGUUGAUACUGGAUAUCUUGAGUGCAGUUGAGGCAGGCGGAAUUCGUGGUGUAGCGGUGAAAUGCUUAGAUAUCACGAAGAACUCCGAUUGCGAAGGCAGCCUGCUAAGCUGCAACUGACAUUGAGGCUCGAAAGUGUGGGUAUCAAACAGGAUUAGAUACCCUGGUAGUCCACACGGUAAACGAUGAAUACUCGCUGUUUGCGAUAUACAGCAAGCGGCCAAGCGAAAGCGUUAAGUAUUCCACCUGGGGAGUACGCCGGCAACGGUGAAACUCAAAGGAAUUGACGGGGGCCCGCACAAGCGGAGGAACAUGUGGUUUAAUUCGAUGAUACGCGAGGAACCUUACCCGGGCUUAAAUUGCAGAUGAAUUACGGUGAAAGCCGUAAGCCGCAAGGCAUCUGUGAAGGUGCUGCAUGGUUGUCGUCAGCUCGUGCCGUGAGGUGUCGGCUUAAGUGCCAUAACGAGCGCAACCCUUGUUGUCAGUUACUAACAGGUUCCGCUGAGGACUCUGACAAGACUGCCAUCGUAAGAUGUGAGGAAGGUGGGGAUGACGUCAAAUCAGCACGGCCCUUACGUCCGGGGCUACACACGUGUUACAAUGGGGGGUACAGAGGGCCGCUACCACGCGAGUGGAUGCCAAUCCCAAAAACCUCUCUCAGUUCGGACUGGAGUCUGCAACCCGACUCCACGAAGCUGGAUUCGCUAGUAAUCGCGCAUCAGCCACGGCGCGGUGAAUACGUUCCCGGGCCUUGUACACACCGCCCGUCAAGCCAUGGGAGCCGGGGGUACCUGAAGUGCGUAACCGCGAGGAGCGCCCUAGGGUAAAACUGGUGACUGGGGC
rnacentral:rRNA from 1 species